rnacentral:rRNA from 1 species
GAUGAACGCUGGCGGUAUGCUUAACACAUGCAAGUCGAACGGACUCUUCGGAGUUAGUGGCGGACGGGUGAGUAACGCGUGAGAAUCUGGCUUUGGGUUCGGGACAACCACUGGAAACGGUGGCUAAUACCGGAUGUGCCGAGAGGUAAAAGAGAAAUUGCCUGAAGAUGAGCUCGCGUCUGAUUAGCUAGUUGGUGAGGUAAAGGCUCACCAGGCAGCGAUCAGUAGCUGGUCUGAGAGGAUGACCAGCCACACUGGGACUGAGACACGGCCCAGACUCCUACGGGAGGCAGCAGUGGGGAAUUUUCCGCAAUGGGCGAAAGCCUGACGGAGCAGUACCGCGUGAGGGAAGAAGGCUCUUGGGUUGUAAACCUCUUUUCUUAGGGAAGAACAAAAUGACGGUACCUAAGGAAUCAGCAUCGGCUAACUCCGUG